UGUCAUUCCAGAAACACACGUGUAUGCUUACUGUAACACAAAGAUCGGUGACGUUGACGAAUGCACAGCAUCGACGCCUGUCUGUGGCGUACACUUCAAUUGCACCAAUGCACUGGGCUCCUACCUGUGCGAAUACAAUCACAGCUGCUGUCAGGGUAUACUUACUGAUGGAAAGCAGAAAAAUCUCAA